rnacentral:lncRNA from 10 species
GUCAGUUCAUGAAAGUGAUUUGUCAUUAAUGUCCAACAGUGAAUGACUAUGAACAGCAGCUUUUGAGAUUGGCAGUAACACAGCUUUUAGGAAAACAGAGGGCAGGCAUAGUUUAAAGCUAACAUCAGCAUGUGUAAUGAGGUAUCAUCCUAUUCCCUAUGUGGCUUGGGCACUAACUUGCAGCUGAAGAAUAGAGAUCUGUUUGGGCUUGCAGCCCUGGCUAAAUGGCCCUGCUGGUUCCACCCCCCAGGUCUGAUGGUCAAGAAUUAUUGGAUACUUCAUGUAAAGCACUCAGCCAGGCACUUUGAGAUAGAUGAAGAAGACUAAGAGGCAGUGUAUACUCUCUAGGACCUUAAAACCUAGUGAGGAAGAAAAGCACAUGAGGAUAACUUGGACUUUUUUUCUUCUAUGAGAAAAACAUCUGGUAAGGUUAUUCAGACCACUCAGCUUCAUAUGGAUUUAUAGAUGUUGGUGCAAUUUUUACUCCUUGGCUUCAGCUAUUGAAGCUGUGGCAGCAGGUGUGAUUACCUCAGAAGAGCGAAGGUGCAAAACAAACUCUUGAGGUCUUGGGAGCUCUGCAGGUGGUUUCCUUGCAGUUCUUCAAAUAAAAGGAAGUCUAAGAGCUUCCUGACUCUGUGAUAGAGAAUGCUACCAUGCAAGGCCAUCACUUGAAGCCUUUGCUCUUUGCAGAGGCAGAAGCGUCCCUGAGUGCAUUGAGACGCUGGGCUGAAGAGAGGAAUGACAUCAGCACCAGCAGGACCAGGAUCCUUUCAUCCUGUGGCUCCACCAUCUUCACCAUCUUCAAUACUUGGACUGUGAGGUCACUGUGCAUGUUCGUAUCAAGUUGGUCAACAGAGAAGAAACAUGGAAGAUGGCCCAUGGAGGAUGGCACACAUCACUUCCACUCACAUUCCAUGGGCUAGAACUCACAAAUAAAUUUGAUGAACAGCAAGCCAGCCUCUGUUCCAAAAGU